rnacentral:rRNA from 1 species
UACGGAGGGUGCAAGCGUUACUCGGAAUCACUGGGCGUAAGGGGCGCGUAUGCGGCCAAGCAAGUCUGGUGUGAAAGCCCAGGGCUCAACCCUGGAAGGGCACUGGAAACUGUUAGGCUUGAGUUCCGGAGAGGAGGGGGGAAUUCCCAGUGUAGCGGUGAUAUGCGUAGAUGUCGGGAGGAAUACCGGUGGCGAAGGCGCCCCUCUGGACGGAAACUGACGCUGAGGCGAGAAAGCGUGGGGAGCAAACAGG